CUUGUAUAAGUCAUUUACAGUAAAAUUCUGGCAUUUGCUCCUAGGCAUAUGUAAACAUCCUUUUUCAAUCUUUGUUACAAAAGCUGUGAUGAUCACUGAAGACCAGUCCUUACAUCCCCAUCCCUUCAUUUGACUACUAGCACCUGCCACUGACAUUAUGAUGCAAAAGUACCAGAAAUAUUAAUCAACCAAUGAAUUUCCUUCGUAAAAAUUUUCUACAGAAAGUACGACUAUAACUAACCAGACAAAGCCACAAUUAUGGCAAGGGUAUGAAAACCUCAACAUUUCUGAUGCCAAAAGUCACAGAGUAUGAUGUAUCAC
rnacentral:lncRNA from 1 species